CAGAUGUAAAAGGGGGAUUCUGUGGACUCUGAUGUAAAUUUUAUUUAAUUGCAAAAUAUAUGUAUAGUAUAGUUUUUUCCAUCCCUGCUCUCCCCAAUCUAGCACACCUUUCAUGAGGCACCAUAGAUUUUAGCCCACCCCCAGCAGCGUUGCAUCACACAGAGUUGGGGGGUAUUUAAAGGCCAUUUUCAUUUGCCUCUUCAUGGCUCUGCUAUGUCAGGGUCCCAGGCUGUUCCUGCCUUAUAGUCUCCUUGGACUUGAUUCCAACCUCCCUAUACAGCAAUCAGCACUGCCAGAGGUCUUCUCCGGCUGACUAUUGCACAUUGGUUUGAUUAACCGUUAAUGUGCUGGAACGCAAUUUUACCAGUCCCUUUUCGAUCUGACCCAAUUGCCUAAUUAAGGUAUUUACAUAUAUAUAUAUAUAUAUAUAUGCAUAUUUUUCAAUAUUUUUCUUCAGUUCUUUAUGAGGUUUCCCCUAAUGUUUUAGGGGUUUAUUCCCUUAGCAUUCACUACCUCUACCUUUUUUUACUAUAGUAUUGUGAAUAUCACAUUUGGCUGGACAGGUUCCAUGCGGUUUCCUGGAUGCAUGCUGAAGUGGGUACAAAACACUAUGGAAUUUUCUUCAUAGCUUGACUUAUUUGGCACACAGCGGUUUUUAAUGUGAUUGGAUGAUCUUUGACCUUGAUAGGUAAGUUUGCUCACGGUCCUUCCACUGUAUGAAAUGUUAUCAGUUUUUGUGACCCCUGUAUUCUCAUGAACCAUUUGUAUUACAGAUGUUUUACUCUUUAAUAUCCAUUUGAUGCAGUCUAUUAUUACAUUGUGUAUAUGUAUUGUAACAGCUAGCGGUUUGUUUUCCGAAGUUGUCGUUUUUUCUGGCAAUAUUUUCAAUGCCCUAUGCUUAUGUAUUACCUUGUUUUUUCUUUAUUUUAUAGCUUGUUGUAUUGCUCCUGAUGAAGCUCUUUGAGCGAAACAUAUCGGGCUUCCCCCAACAGGUUCUUCUGCUACUUUAAGUCGCUAUUACUAUCAAAGAGACCAUCCAUGUUCUGUAUUCUUUUUUAUGAAAUAUCUAUGUAUGAAUAAAUUAUUACUUUUGUAUUUAC